rnacentral:rRNA from 1 species
GAUGAACGCUGGCGGCGUGCCUAAUACAUGCAAGUCGAGCGAAUGGAUUAAGAGCUUGCUCUUAUGAAGUUAGCGGCGUACGGGUGAGUAACACGUGGGUAACCUGCCCAUAAGACUGGGAUAACUCCGGGAAACCGGGGCUAAUACCGGAUAACAUUUUGAACCGCAUGGUUCGAAAUUGAAAGGCGGCUUCGGCUGUCACUUAUGGAUGGACCCGCGUCGCAUUAGCUAGUUGGUGAGGUAACGGCUCACCAAGGCAACGAUGCGUAGCCGACCUGAGAGGGUGAUCGGCCACACUGGGACUGAGACACGGCCCAGACUCCUACGGGAGGCAGCAGUAGGGAAUCUUCCGCAAUGGACGAAAGUCUGACAGAGCAACGCCGCGUGAGUGAUGAAGGCUUUCGGGUCGUAAAACCCUGUUGUUAGGGAAGAACAAGUGCUAGUUGAAUAAGCUGGCACCUUGACGGUACCUAACCAGAAAGCCACGGCUAACUACGUGCCAGCCGCCGCGGUAA